GCCUUCGUGGUAUAGUGGUCAGCACGCUCGACGCGUAACCGAGAGGUCCGUGGUUCGAUUCCAGGCGAAGGUG
rfam:Stegodyphus mimosarum contig59484, whole genome shotgun sequence.